rnacentral:rRNA from 1 species
UACGUAGGGGGCUAGCGUUGUCCGGAAUCAUUGGGCGUAAAGCGCGUGUAGGCGGCCCGGUAAGUCCGCUGUGAAAGUCCAGGGCUCAACCCUGGGAUGCCGGUGGAUACUGUCGGGCUCGAGUCCGGAAGAGGCGAGUGGAAUUCCUGGUGUAGCGGUGAAAUGCGCAGAUAUCAGGAAGAACACCCGUGGCUAAGGCGGCUCUCUAGUACGGUACUGACGCUGAGACGCGAAAGCGUGGGGAGCGAACAGG